CAAGAAGGUGUGGCCGCUGCACCUGAGGGCCCACUGUCCAGCUGGGAAACAUGACACGCACACAGCAAACAGGAAGCUCCUGGAGGAUAUGCUCCACAAAUACAGAGGGAUAACCAAGAAAGAAGAGGCCAUAAGAUGUAUGAAACAGAAGAUCCAACACAGGAGAGAAUCAAAGAAUCCCAGGGCCAAAAUGCAUGAAGACAACUGCCAUGGGUGAGAAAGCCACUGAGCUGGCUGCAGCAGACCUGGACUCCAACCCUCCUUCUGCUAAUAACUAGUUGUAUGGCUUAAAACCUCCAAGUUUCCAUUUCCUCAUCUAUAAAAUGAAGUGAGUGAACUGGAGCUUCAAAAUUCCUUCCAACACUGGUGCUCCACUCCAGAGAAGUAAAACCAUGGCAUCUGGGUGACCGCCGCCAUGUGACGCAGCAGCCUCAGAACUGAGCCAGCCAAGUGAAGGGACAUCCUCUCCACGGGCCCCGGCAGGCUGAAGUGCUGAGCUUGGCUCUACCUAGAAGAUGUCUCUCAGUCUUCUUUAUUGUCCAGAACUCCAUGAAGUUGUCAAUGUUACUCUGAUCUUACUCAAGGAGAAAAAUGAAGCCCAGAAAUCUGAAGUAACAUGUUCAACUUCAAAUGGUCCAGUGGCAGAGCCAGGGUUGAAAGCCCAGUCUAUCUGACUGUCAACAUUUCUUUCAUGCUCUGAGUGGAGUUCAUUGAAUGUUUGAUAUGCAAGUCAGUCAACUAUAUUUUCUACAGAAUAUCAAACCCUUUAUUAAAUUAACCAGACAUGACUUAACGAAUUACCAUGUUCACAAAAAUAAUACAAAAUCAGUAUUCUGAUCCUCAGCUGUUAACAAUCACUGCUUAAGUGAACCCUCCUUCUUUCUACAGCUGUGGUUUUCAAACUUGAGAGUUUAUCAGAACCUCCCAGAAGGCUUGUUGAACUACACGUGGUUGGGUCCACCCCUAGAGUUUCUGAUUCAGGUGGUCUGGGUAGGGUGGGACCCCAAAAUGCACAUCUCUCACGAGAUCCCAACAGAUGCUGGUGUUGUAGCCUAGGGCCUCGCUUGGAGAACUACUGUUCAAGCACUCUUGUCUCUUUGGCUCACCCAGCUUGUAGAAACUCAAGGAAAGCUCUAAGACCUCAAGCUAUCUCCUCAAGAAGUUAAAAUUCUUACAGCUUUUCAGUUGUCCCGGCCACAACUGUCAUCGUUCACUGUGAGGACUUUGCUCCUCUGUUUAGGGUCUGUUGUACCUACUUCUCCUCUCUCUGGCACUCAGUGCAAGGGAGAGCUUGGCUUUCUGCCCCAUUCGUUGGCUUUCUGCUCCACACCAGCUGGCAAAGGCUGAAAGGGAAGGCCUCUAAGUAAGAAUCCCAGCAGGGUGAAUUCUCUGUGCUGGUCCCUUAAAUCAGAGGGCAAGACUGGUCCCCUUUCAAAGCACAAGAUCUUCCCUUCCCACCACACAUUGGGUGUCUAAUAAAUACUUGUAUCUACACACAAUUGAUUUCUUCACCAACUUUUUUUAAAGCUUUGAAUUCUUAAAGAUGAAAUGCUCUUUUUUUGUCCCAAAAUACAGUUUUUCAGAACUUCCUUUCAAAACACAGAGACACACCCCAAAAGAAUGUAACUGGGAUUUAAAAUUGUGGUUUCUGCCCAGAAGUCCAAGUGCAAGCUAUGGCUGUGUUUCUCUGUUUGGCCUCAUUUCUUGCUUGGAGUUAUUAGGUAUAAUCAAGAUUGCUGCUUACUGGAUAAAGGCCAAAGUUAGGAAGUUCCGUGCUUGAGCUCCAAUCCUUUCAGGAUUGCUAAGUGGUAAGAACUGCCUGAAAAUCAGUGAGUGUUACAGCUCUUUCAGAACUCUUCUAGCAGUUUUUCCAGCUUUUACCAGAAUCUCUCCCCUAUCCCACAAACAAUAAAGAAAUCAGACUGGGAAAGCACAGUGUCCUUACUAAGAUUGCUCUGGGCAGCCAAAAAUUGCUCUGGAGCCGAGGGAGGGAAGUGCUUUGCAAGAAACCUAUAAAGGAGAAAAAUGGGUAUUUGGUGACCUCCAUGUUGCCUUUCUGACCUCUUCCUCCAAUGCCCACGCUAGGGUCAUUCUGGCAGGACAGUGCAGUGAAAAAGGCCUGGAAAGCUGGGAGACCGCGAUCCAGUCUCAGCUCUACUGCUGACCAGUGAGUGUCCCUAGACCUCUUACUUCAGCUCCAGGGACAGUAUUUGGUUGUGUACAUAUAGAAGAUACUGGCCAGGAUGACCUCAGAAAUUCGCUUCAGCACUGUCUAUUAGUGAGAACUGGAAGUGGUUUUCACUAAAUAUGCUGAUAACUAUGCUUUUUGAUGUGACAAUACCUUGGCAUUUGUGAACUCUUAAUAACCAGGGAGGAAAUGUUGUUUAUCCAAGCCCUGAAGAGCCCACCUGCCAGGGUGGGACUCGAGUGGAAUCAAGCGGGGCCCUGCCCAGAGUAUGGCUGCCCCCCAAUAUCCCCACUCCCACCUCCCCACCCCCCACCCCUGCCAUCCCACCAGGCCUGCUCCAACCACCACACUUCCUGCCCCCUUGGCUCCCUUCUGCAGGGAAGGUGAAGCUAGAUGACGCACUUGCCCGGGCAUGAAACAAAGGGAUUCCUUUCCCUUUUCUUCCCCUUUCUAGAGUCACGGCCUCACCAACACCCUCUCUCCCUGACUGUCUCUCACUAUAAAGUCAGUCACUGAAUUGUACACCUAAAACAAAGUGAAUUCUAUGGCAUGUAAAUUAUUCUUCAAUAAAGCUGUUAAAAAUG